GCCGGACGGUCGCGUGCCGUCACACCGAAAGGCAGCAGUGCGAGGAAAGUCCGGGCAUCACAGGGCAGGAUAACUGAUAACAUCAGCCGUGGGCAACCACCGGAAAAGUGCAACAGAAAUAAACCGCCCCGGCGCACGCGUCGGGGUAAGGAUGGAAAGGCGAGGUAAGAGCUCACCCAUUUCCAUGGUAACAUGGAUCUGCUGUAAACUCUAUCCGAUGCAACACCGUAAGUGCGAUGGGAAAACCCAUCCGGUCUGCCCGGCCGCCUCCCUUACGGGAGGGUGUUUUGGGUGGCACGGGGCGGGGGAGACGCCGCUCCGGAGCGCUCCCGGCAACGGGACGCACAGAUAGAUGACCGUCGCCCCGCGAGGGGCACAGAACCCGGCUUACAGGCGC
rnacentral:RNase_P_RNA from 1 species